GGGGACGUAGCUCAACUGGACAGAGCGUCAGCUUGCGGAGCUGAAGGUUGUGGGUUCAACUCCCACCGUCCUCACCA
rnacentral:tRNA from 3 species